UACGUAGGGGGCGAGCGUUGUCCGGAAUUAUUGGGCGUAAAGAGCUCGUAGGCGGCUUAGUAAGUCGGCGGUGAAAUACCGAGGCUCAACCUCGGCACUGCCGUCGAUACUGCUAUGGCUAGAGUUUGGUAGAGGAGAACGGAAUUCCCGGUGUAGCGGUGGAAUGCGCAGAUAUCGGGAGGAACACCCGUAGCGAAGGCGGUUCUCUGGGCCGACACUGACGCUGAGGAGCGAAAGCGUGGGGAGCGAACAGG
rnacentral:rRNA from 1 species